UUAGCGGCGGGAGGGGUGGUUAACCAGGGACCAACCCUCCCCUACCACAUGGGGUAACCCUCGGGGAAACGGGGGUUAAUUCCCAACGAAACCAUUUUUAUUGCAUUGUCAAAAAUUUCAAAGAUUUAUCGGUGUAAGAUGGUCCUCGCGUUUGUUUAGCUAGUUGGUAAGGUAAAAGCUCACCAAGGCAAUGAUCAGUAUCCGGCCUGAGAGGGUGAUCGGCCACAUUGGGAUUGAGACACGGCCCCAACUCCUACGGGAGGCAGCAGUGGGGAAUAUUGCACAAUGGAGGGAACUCUGAUGCAGCGACGCCGCGUGAGCGAAGAAGGAAUUCGUUUCGUAAAGCUCUGUCCUAUGGGAAGAUAAUGACGGUACCAUAGAAGAAAGCCCCGGCUAACUACGUGCCAGCAGCCGCGGUAAUACGUAGGGGGCGAGCGUUGUCCGGAAUUAUUGGGCGUAAAGGGUUCGUAGGCGGUAAUACAUGUCAGAUGUGAAAUCUUGUGGCUUAACCACAUCAAGCAUCUGAAACUGUAUAACUUGAGUCGAGGAGAGGUAAGUGGAAUUCCUAGUGUAGCGGUGAAAUGCGUAGAUAUUAGGAAGAAUACCAGUAGCGAAGGCGACUUACUGGCCUCUAACUGACGCUGAUGAACGAAAGCGUGGGUAGCAAACAGGAUUAGAUACCCUGGUAGUCCACGCCGUAAACGAUGAGUGCUAGGUGUCGGGAGUCAAAUCUCGGUGCCGUAGUAACGCAAUA
rnacentral:rRNA from 1 species